GACGAACGCUGGCGGCGUGCUUAACACAUGCAAGUCGAACGGAAAGGCCCUGCUUUUGUGGGGUGCUCGAGUGGCGAACGGGUGAGUAACACGUGAGUAACCUGCCCUUGACUUUGGGAUAACUUCAGGAAACUGGGGCUAAUACCGGAUAGGAGCUCCUGCUGCAUGGUGGGGGUUGGAAAGUUUCGGCGGUUGGGGAUGGACUCGCGGCUUAUCAGCUUGUUGGUGGGGUAGUGGCUUACCAAGGCUUUGACGGGUAGCCGGCCUGAGAGGGUGACCGGCCACAUUGGGACUGAGAUACGGCCCAGACUCCUACGGGAGGCAGCAGUGGGAAAUAUUGCACAAUGGGCGGAAGCCUGAUGCAGCAACGCCGCGUGCGGGAGGACGGCCUUCGGGUUGUAAACCGCUUUCGCCUGUGACGAAGCGUGAGUGACGGUAAUGGGUAAAGAAGCACCGGCUAACUACGUG
rnacentral:rRNA from 1 species